UACGGGGGGGAGCAAGCGUUGUCCGGAUUUAUUGGGCGUAAAGAGCUCGUAGGCGGCUCGUCGCGUCGACCGUGAAAACCCGCGGCUUAACUGCGGGCUUGCGGUUGAUACGGGCGGGCUAGAGUUCGGUAGGGGGAGACUGGAAUUCCUGGUGUAGCGGUGAAAUGCGCAGAUAUCAGGAGGAACACCGGUGGCGAAGGCGGGUCUCUGGGCCGAUACUGACGCUGAGGAGCGAAAAGCGUGGGGAGCGAACAGG
rnacentral:rRNA from 1 species